rnacentral:lncRNA from 1 species
AAAGAAUCCCAAAAGGCACCCAGAGAGAGAGCCAUGCACUGGUUUGCAUGAAGUUUGUCCUCCAGACUUCAGCUGUGUCAAAAACUGUCCUGCUUCUGAAAAGGGAAAUCUCAAUGAUAGUUAUUAUAUUCCUGUCCUUUUUCAGAUCUACUCACUUCUGCAUUUACAAGCAGCUCUCGUGCAUCAAGGAGAUUAGAUGAUGGCAUUUAUCCUAGAGCUCUAAGAAAAGCUCCAACAGCUGCAGAGGGUGUCCAAGCUGAUCAGAGUAGAAAUGAACUUUAAUAAAGCAAAGUUGACAUGCAGCAAAUAUUUCCUGUAAGCCUAGUAUGCACAGACAGAUAAGUGAUCAAGCGAUUGCUAGUAGAUAUCCCCUUGUCUCUAGUUCUAAGACAGGAGCAGAAAGGAUAGAGAUAGAUUCCAGGACAGAAGCAGGAAGCAUAGAGAUGGACCAAAAAGAUGUGAAGAAGAUACUGCCUCCAGAUGAUCCAAAGAUGAUAGUUAAGACACAGAAGGGAAGACAAGAGGUGC